rnacentral:rRNA from 1 species
GCUUACACAUGCAAGUCGAGCGGGCAUCCUUGUGGUGUCAGCGGCGGACGGGUGAGUAACGCGUGGGAACGUGCCUUCUGGUUCGGGAUAACCCUGGGAAACUAGGGCUAAUACCGGAUACGCCCUUUUGGGGAAAGGUUUACUGCCGGAAGAUCGGCCCGCGUCUGAUUAGCUAGUUGGUGGGGUAACGGCCUACCAAGGCGACGAUCAGUAGCUGGUCUGAGAGGAUGAUCAGCCACACUGGGACUGAGACACGGCCCAGACUCCUACGGGAGGCAGCAGUGGGGAAUAUUGGACAAUGGGCGCAAGCCUGAUCCAGCCAUGCCGCGUGAGUGAUGAAGGCCUUAGGGUUGUAAAGCUCUUUUAUCCGGGACGAUAAUGACGGUACCGGAGGAAUAAGCCCCGGCUAACUUCGUGCCAGCAGCCGCGGUAAUACGAAGGGGGCUAGCGUUGCUCGGAAUCACUGGGCGUAAAGGGCGCGUAGGCGGCGUUUUAAGUCGGGGGUGAAAGCCUGUGGCUCAACCACAGAAUGGCCUUCGAUACUGGGACGCUUGAGUAUGGUAGAGGUUGGUGGAACUGCGAGUGUAGAGGUGAAAUUCGUAGAUAUUCGCAAGAACACCGG